UUACCUGGAACACAAUAUAUUAUAGGGACAUGAGAGGUAGGAGAGGGGCGGAGGGUAGGAGAGGGGCGAACCAUAUAUAAGCAGUUGCCAUGAGAUCAAACUUUCAGUCGUAAGCGCGUUGGUGUGAUAGAUUAAUCUGUUAGCGUACCUCCUAAACAAGCUCCGAAGCUGAGUGCCCAGGCCAGGGGUGGCAGCGGUAGGGCGAGUGCGCCGUCUGCCAGGGCUGCCACAACGCGCACCAUCAUCGUCGUCAACGGGAUGUUAUCUACGAAGGCCGAGGCCAGACCUGACACCUGGUUGUGAUGAAGAAGCGUGUAAUAUUACUGAUCUUGUGAAGAAGAAUUUUAUUGAUUUAAUAAGGAAGAACAGUAAAAUAUAGUAAAAUAUUUCCAUAUAAAA